AUUGAACGCUGGCGGCAGGCCUAACACAUGCAAGUCGAGCGGAUGAAGGGAGCUUGCUCCUGGAUUCAGCGGCGGACGGGUGAGUAAUGCCUAGGAAUCUGCCUGGUAGUGGGGGAUAACGUCCGGAAACGGGCGCUAAUACCGCAUACGUCCUGAGGGAGAAAGUGGGGGAUCUUCGGACCUCACGCUAUCAGAUGAGCCUAGGUCGGAUUAGCUAGUUGGUGGGGUAAAGGCCUACCAAGGCGACGAUCCGUAGCUGGUCUGAGAGGAUGAUCAGUCACACUGGAACUGAGACACGGUCCAGACUCCUACGGGAGGCAGCAGUGGGGAAUAUUGGACAAUGGGCGAAAGCCUGAUCCAGCCAUGCCGCGUGUGUGAGGAAGGUCUUCGGAUUGUAAAGCACUUUAAGUUGGGAGGAAGGGCAGUAAGUUAAUACCUUGCUGUUUUGACGUUACCAACAGAAUAAGCACCGGCUAACUUCGUG
rnacentral:rRNA from 1 species